ensembl:lncRNA
CCCCAAUCCAUCAAAGGGCUGGAGACAAUUUGCCGCACGUGUGCUCUACGAAUCAGAUUCAAUUAACAAAAUACAAGAAAAGUGGGAAAGGUCAUGUGUAACAUCAGACCUAAACACAGACAAAGAACAUGAAGUUACAACUUUACAAUAAUGAAGGAAACCAAAAGGUCUCAGGUCACCAUCACCCUCAUCAACAUCAUCACCUCCAUCAGAGGAAGAUGACCAUUUGGCAACCUAACAAGAAAAUUGCCUGCCCAAAACACCAAAAAGGAUUCAUCGACUCCCUUCCAGAAACCUAACAGCCCCUCCUCCCUUACCAGUGGUCUCAAGACCAAAGAGCACAGAUGCCAUCAUAGCUGGUAAGCUUCUUCUGAUCUGUAUUAAAGUAAAUCACAUCAAAGUCACAUCUAAGACUCAAAAUCGCUAGACAUGAUACAACAGAGAAUAUUUUAAAGACAUCAGAACGUUUAACUAAAUUCUUACCAAACUUACAAAUGUACACAGAAAAUCACAUAUACUAUUAGCCUACUAUAGCAUUGCUGAUGGUAUAUAUUUGCAUGCUUUUUAUCAAAUUUUGUUUGAACACUAGCAUGUUUCAAUGUCAGAUAACAAAAUGUCAGCAUUUGUGUAAGAAAAUAGCUUUAGCCUACAGAUUUUUAAAAGUCAUCCCUUUUAAAAGACCCUCCCUUUAAGGUUUCCUUGUUACAGAAUAAUAGUAAAAUUAAUUAACUGCAUGUACUUACUAUAUGGUAAGGGUUAGGAUUAGGGUUUGGCUCAGGGUUACUUGCAUGUAAUUAUGCAUAAUUAAUUGUACAAUAGUAAUUACAUGUAACGUGUAACAUAAAAUUCACAAAAGGCUUGUGGUGCAGACAUGCUAGUCUGAUCUUUUGUAAUACUUUGAUUUCAAAACAGUGAUUUCACAGACCCGACCAGUGUCCUCCAACAGUGAUCCUUGCCCUGUUCAGCCUGGCAACCCAGCAAUAUGGACUGUUCUCAACGUAAACAAAAUGACAUAGUGAAGAUAGGGUGUAUCUAAAAAAAACUGCACAAAAGGCUUCUAGUGACAAAGACAUGCUAGUCUAAUCUUUGUGUAAUGUUGUUCAUUUCAUAAUAGUGAUUUCACAGGCCAGACCAGUGUCCUCCAACAGUGACCACUGCCCUGUUCCAGCCUGGCAACCCAGCAAUAUGGACUCUUCCCAACGUAAACAAGAUUACAUAGUGAAAAUAUAGCAUAUGUGAAAGAAAUCACUGACCCAAGCAUUUCUGAUUUUAUUUGUGAGAUUAACAUCAAUAAAUGAUUUCUUAUUCGAAGAGAUGACA